CCUACGGGGGGCUGCAGUGGGGGAUAUUGCACAAUGGACGGAAGUCUGAUGCAGCGACGCCGCGUGGGGGAUGAAGGCUUUCGGGUUGUAAACCUCUUUUAUUCCUGAACAAGGCUUGGAUUGUUGUCUGGGUUGAGGGUAGGGGGUGAAUAAGCGCCGGCUAACUACGUGCCAGCAGCCGCGGUAAUACGUAGGGCGCGAGCGUUGUCCGGAAUUAUUGGGCGUAAAGAGCUCGUAGGCGGUUUGUUGCGUCUGCUGUGAAAACGCGGGGCUUAACUUCGCGCGUGCAGUGGGUACGGGCAGGCUAGAGUGCGGUAGGGGAGAUUGGAAUUCCUGGUGUAGCGGUGGAAUGCGCAGAUAUCAGGAGGAACACCGAUGGCGAAGGCAGGUCUCUGGGCCGUUACUGACGCUGAGGAGCGAAAGCGUGGGGAGCGAACAGGAUUAGAUACCCCAGUAGUC
rnacentral:rRNA from 1 species